rnacentral:tRNA from 1 species
CCUUCGAUAGCUCAGUUGGUAGAGCUGAGGACUGUAGAUCCUCAGGUCGCUGGUUUGACUCUGGCUCGAAAGA